UGAGUAAAAGUGUAAGGCACAUCAACCUUUGAAGUUGAAGGAUUAAUCUCAG
rnacentral:tRNA from 1 species